rnacentral:rRNA from 1 species
CCUACGGGUGGCAGCAGUGAGGAAUAGUGGUCAAUGGACGAGAGUCGGAACCAGCGAAGUAGCGUGAAGGAUGACGGCCCUAUGGGGUGUAAACUUCUGUUAUAUGGGAAUAAAAUGUGGCACGUGUGGGAUUUUGUAUGUACCAUAUGAAUAAGGAUCGGCUAACUCCGUGCCAGCAGCCGCGGUAAUACGGAGGCGGCGAGGGUUAUCCGGAUUGAUUGGGUUUAAAGGGUGCGCAGGCGGGCCUUUAAGCCGGCGGGGAAACCGGGGGGCUCAACCCCGGCGCGCCGUCGGAACUGGGGGCCUUGAGUGCGGCAGAGGCAUGCGGAAUGCGCGGUGUAGCGGU